AAAUUGCCAUGGAAAUAGUACUAACAGCUUCAGAACAUGGCAAACCAUAUUAUAUUUUUCUUGCCAUGGCAAAGAAAACAUGAUUUCGACACGGCAACAUACUUUGUGUUUCCACGGCAACUUAUUAUGAUGUAUUGCCAUGGUCAAAAAUAAUUUAAUUUGGGAUGACUGCAGAAGUUGAGGCGACAUGACAACAUAUUUUGUGUUUGCAUGGCAUAAAACAGAUUUUAAGAUACCAUCAACUAUAAUUUCUAAUAUAAAAGUUUGUCAUGCAAUAUUUGUCAAUUAGCAUGACAACAAUAAGUAAACAGUUUCUGCAAAUUCAUGAACGACUGAGAAAAUGAAUCACACAAAAAUUGCAACAUAUGGACUGGGCUUAAAAAAUCGAAUCACCAUCAGUGCUGAGCUAGUGACACAAAAAGUUGAACCUGUUCACUAAGACUAUAUUCAAAUGCGGCACUUGAGCGGCCGAAGAAGACGAGGAGGAUGUGCCCGUUGCCCAUGAGCAGCUUAUGGUCGUGAAGGGCGCCACAGUGCAGGAUGGCGUCGUCGCCUCCCGGCGGCCGAGCAUCAGACGAGGUCGGCGGCGUCCAAUAGGACGGAGAAGACGAGGAGGAGGGUCUCGUCGCCCAUGGACGCUGAGCUCGAAGAACACGCGACCGUGGCCGUCGCCUCCAGGUGGCCGCGCUUUACCAUGAUUUGGCCGGCCAUCUCCGCCGCGCCGGCCAGAACGCCUCCGCCAUGGAGCUCCACUGUCCUCCAGAUCCAUCGCCGCCGCCGGGAACAGUCUCCCUGCGCCGGAUCCGCUCCUCCACGCCUUCCCGAACUCGCCUUCGUCGCGGCGCCCUUCGCCAAGUCCACUGACGCCGACCUCUGCUUCCUCUGCAUCCAGCAGGAGCUCGCCUGCUCGUCCCGCUCGACGCUGCACCAAUCCGCCGCUCGCCUGGGCCACACGCAGCCGGCCCAACACAUCUCCAGCACAGCGCGCCGUCCCGGCGGCCUGAUUUGGUCGGCCGUCUUCAAAUCCGGCAACGAAAAAGAAAAGUGGGGGAGUGGUGUCCAGGGGGAGGGGGAAAACAAUGGAACUCGUUCGGGCGGCCCAGAAUCAUCCUGAACGCUCCGCGGGAGGAUUUGCUAAAACCCGGC
rnacentral:rRNA from 1 species